rnacentral:rRNA from 1 species
AUUGAACGCUGGCGGCAGGCCUAACACAUGCAAGUCGAGCGAGCGGCGGACGGGUGAGUAAUAUAUGGGGAUCUGCCUGAUAGAGGGGGAUCACUACUGGAAACGGUGGCUAAUACCGCAUACCAUCAGAUGAACCCAUAUGGGAUUAGCUUGUAGGUAGGGUAACGGCUAACCUAGGCGACGAUCCCUAGCUGGUCUGAGAGGAUGAUCAGCAACACUGGGACUGAGACACGGCCCAGACUCCUACGGUAGGAAGCAGUGGGGAAUAUUGCACAAUGGGCGCAAGCCUGAUGCAGCCAUGCCGCGUGGAUGAAGAAGGCCUUAGGGUUGUAAAGUACUUUCAGCCGGGAGGCGUUACCCGCAGAAGAAGCACCGGCUAACUCCGUGCCAGCAGCCGCGGUAAUAC